AGCUUUGCACAGUGGCAGUAUCGUAGCCAGUGAGGUUUAUCCAAGGCGUGAUUGCUAAUUGAAAACUUUUCCCAAUGCCCCGCCGUGACAACUUGAAAUAUAGUUGGCAUUGGCUAAAAAAAAAAAAAAGACAGAUUU